UACGUAGGGGGCAAGCGUUUGUUCGGAAUUACUGGGCGUAAAGGGCGCGUAGGCGGUUCGCUAAGUUGGAUGUGAAAACUCUGGGCUCAACCCAGAGCCUGCAUCCAAAACUGGCGGGCUAGAGUUCUGGAGGGGUAGCGGAAUUCCUGGUGUAGCGGUGAAAUGCGUAGAUAUCAGGAGGAACACCGGUGGCGAAGGCGGCUACCUGGACAGAAACUGACGCUGAGGCGCGAAAGCUAGGGGAGCAAACAGG
rnacentral:rRNA from 1 species